AGAAGCAUCUGUUUCAGUUCCACUCAAGAAUUCUCAAGAUGUUCCUCAAGGAGUGUAUGACAUGUCAACUUUGCAGACAGCUGUUGAGGAGCUGAAAGCUGAUAAUCUGAAGAAAAAUGACGAGAUUAAGAAACUGAUGGAGGAGAAUAAUAAGAUAAAGAAUGAUCUGGCUUCCAAAGAUGCACUGUGUGAGGAAUAUAAACAGAAGAUUCAGACCCUGCAGGAACACUUGAGUGGGGCAGAGUCAGUGUGUAGUUCGAGUAAAUCAAGUUCUAGUUAGAGGUUUGUGGACAGCCCUAAUGGAAAAUUGCUCAUCUUAGAAAGGGACAGAUUUCAGCCAACUGUCUAUAGACAGUGCAGUAAAUAUGCAGUGCAUUUUGCACUUUUGAGAAAAAAACUGCUUCCGCUGUACAUCUUGUUAAAGGCACAUCUGCCAUUGUUAUUCUUCAGUCACAGAUGCUUUGAGUUUUAAUUGUGCUUUGUGGAAAACAGUAGUAUUAAAAGGAAAUGCUUUUUUUAUCAGGAGAUUUUGAAAUUCACCUUUCCACAUCUGCUUCAACCCACUCCUGAUGCAUUGAACAUGUACAAAGUUGAAAAGAGCAGAUGUUGGUAUUCAGCUUUCAUGCUGAUGCAGCCAGGUUUUACAGCAGGCUUUUUUUACAGUAUUAAUUCAAGUAAAUUCUGUGAAGGAGCAGCACAACAUGAAUUAGCUAUAAUGCAUUGCCUACAGUCCAGCCUGUCUAAAUAAAGCAUGUACCAAAUAAGCAUAAAUAGGUACUUAAUAACAUGAUAGUAUCCUUGAGUCUGAAUGGACUAAACAACAUAACUUCUUACUUGAAAUCUCAAGCUUGGCAUACUCCUAGGAGAAAACUAUGAAUAAUGCAAAGAUUUUUUAUGAGCAUUUUGGAUAAACUGAGGUCACCAUUUCCACAUCAACAUAUUGCUGGCAGGUAGAGAAGGAUCAACACUUGAAGCUGAAGUAGACCAACCAUUGAUAUUCAUCUUUUAUGCUGAUACAUUGUAAUUCAUGAAACUGAAAAAGGUGCUUGUAUGGAUGGAUGGAUGUCGUGGACAUAGUUUUGGAUACAGAAGGGUGCAAGCAUCUGUGCUGUAGUCUUGUUGCAACGAAGUCUUGAGUUAAAACUUGUACAAUUUCCUGUUAUAAUGCUUUUUGCUGUGUUUAUCUUAUAUUUUAAUGUAAAUUGUAUUUAAGAAUAAAAUUUAUCUUAAUCAUAUUUAUCUUAAAUAGUUAAGUAAUGGCAUACCGUCCAAAUAAAGGAAUUGUUUUUCUAUA